rnacentral:sRNA from 1 species
GCAGCUGUAAAUGCGACGUCUUCUGAGGCGCCUGGUAUCCAUAGGAGUCAAAGCCACCGAUGAAGUCAACUGCGAAAGAGAAGAGUACAAACCAGCCCCAGGGGAGGCGGCCCUGUCCAAGGGUUGGGUAGGGAACCCACUAUGUAAUCUAGGCUGAUCUCAAAUUUGUAAGCCUGACCCUCCUGCCUCUGCCUCCUGCCUGCUGGAAUUGUGGGUCUAUAUAUGGCCUGUCAUCUCUCCAACGGGGAUAAAGAAUGGAUGGUCUGGAAUCUGCACUUCGGGGGACAUGGGGUUGGGUGAUGAAUAGG